rnacentral:misc_RNA from 1 species
GAUGAAGAACGUAGCGAAAUGCGAUAAUUAAUGUGAAUUGCAGAAUUCCGUGAAUCAUCGAGUCUUUGAACGCACAUUGCGCCUCAUGGCAUUCCGUGAGGCAUGCCCAUCUCAGCGUUAGAAAAUAUUCUCAAAUUUUAGUUUUGUGCUAAAAUUUGGAUCAUGUCAAGGAAGCUAUUACUAUUAUUGUGAUCGCUCUUUGGAAAUUGAUAGGUCUUUGAGUUGCUUCUCAUAGAACGUGAUGAAUCUUUCUUCGUUCUAUUGUAAUUCACUCUGGUAGUCCUAAAACUUGUAUGCCUGUGGCAUAUCUUGUAAUUUGACCUGAGAUUGGGUAGGGAUACCCGCUGAACUUAAGCAUAUCAAUAAGCGGAGGA